rnacentral:rRNA from 1 species
ACGGGAGGCAGCAGUGAGGAAUAUUGGUCAAUGGGCGAGAGCCUGAACCAGCCAUGUCGCGUGCAGGAAUACGGCCCUAUGGGUUUUAAACUGCUUUUGCCUGGGGAUAAAGUGGCGGACUUGUCCGUUAUUGCAGGUACCAGGCGAAUAAGGAUCGGCUAACUCCGUGCCAGCAGCCGCGGUAAUACGGAGGAUCCGAGUGUUAUCCGGAUUUAUUGGGUUUAAAGGGUGCGUAGGCGGGACGUCAAGUCAGUGGUGAAAUGGUGCGGCUCAACCGUAGCAUUGCCGUUGAAACUGGGGUUCUUGAGUGCGAAUGAGGUGGGCGGAAUGUGUCAUGUAGCGGUGAAAUGCAUAGAUAUGACACAGAACACCGAUUGCGAAGGCAGCUCACUGGGACGCAACUGACGCUGAGGCACGAAAGUGCGGGGAUCGAACAGGAUUAGAUACCCUGGUA